AUGCACGCUGGCGGCGUGCCUAAUACAUGCAAGUCGAGCGAACAGACGAGGAGCUUGCUCCUCUGACGUUAGCGGCGGACGGGUGAGUAACACGUGGAUAACCUACCUAUAAGACUGGGAUAACUUCGGGAAACCGGAGCUAAUACCGGAUAAUAUAUUGAACCGCAUGGUUCAAUAGUGAAAGACGGUUUUGCUGUCGCUUAUAGAUGGAUCCGCGCCGCAUUAGCUAGUUGGUAAGGUAACGGCUUACCAAGGCAACGAUGCGUAGCCGACCUGAGAGGGGGUGAGGCGCCACAGGGAAAGAGAGACGGGCCAGAGACUCCUAGGGGGGACAGGGAGGGGAAAUUUCCCAAAAGGGGAGAACGUUAGACGGCAAAGCGCCGGGGGAGAGAAAAGGGUUUGGAGAGCGAAACUCUCUGUUAAGAGAAAAAAAAAAAUGUAAAUAAAACUACGCGCGUUUAGAGGAUACAUACAGAAAAACACACGUAUAAACAC
rnacentral:rRNA from 1 species